rnacentral:rRNA from 1 species
UACGAAGGGGGCUAGCGUUGCUCGGAAUCACUGGGCGUAAAGGGCGCGUAGGCGGCCAUUCAAGUCGGGGGUGAAAGCCUGUGGCUCAACCACAGAAUUGCCUUCGAUACUGUUUGGCUUGAGUUUGGUAGAGGUUGGUGGAACUGCGAGUGUAGAGGUGAAAUUCGUAGAUAUUCGCAAGAACACCAGUGGCGAAGGCGGCCAACUGGACCAAUACUGACGCGUGAG